rnacentral:rRNA from 1 species
GAUCAUGGCUCAGGAUGAACGCUAGCGACAGGCUUAACACAUGCAAGUCGAGGGCAGCAUAAAAGUAGCAAUACUUGGUGGCGACCGGCGCACGGGUGAGUAACGCGUAUGCAACCUACCUAUCAGAGGGGAAUAACCCGGCGAAAGUCGGACUAAUACCGCAUAAAACAGGGGCACCGCAUGGUGAUAUUUGUUAAAGAAAUUCGCUGAUAGAUGGGCAUGCGUUCCAUUAGGUAGUUGGUGGGGUAACGGCUCACCAAGCCGACGAUGGAUAGGGGAACUGAGAGGUUGGUCCCCCACACUGGUACUGAGACACGGACCAGACUCCUACGGGAGGCAGCAGUGAGGAAUAUUGGUCAAUGGGCGGGAGCCUGAACCAGCCAAGUCGCGUGAAGGAAGAAGGAUCUAUGGUUCGUAAACUUCUUUUGCAGGGGAAUAAAGUGCAGGACGUGUCCUGUUUUGUAUGUACCCUGAGAGUAAGGAUCGGCUAACUCCGUGCCAGCCGCCGC